UGCUUCUCUGGACUCUGCUAAGAGGUCACUAAUGCCACUCAGGAAGGCCCCACCCUCAUGACCCAAUGGGCUCCUGAACACCCCACCCACUGCCACCACACUGGGGUCAACGAGUGAGGAGGGGACCCGGAUGAUCGGCGCUGUAGGAACUGCAGUUGAACGGGCUGACAGGCUGAGGACCCUACCGGACCAGAAGGCAGGAAGGGGGCUGGCCCUCUGGAGUGCCCCCUCUCUCCUCCCUCCACACCUCCUUCUCCAAGGAGUAGCUCCAGCUCUGCUCUUGCACGCAGUGAGGGUCACCUUGGUGGAUGGACAGGGACUUCUAAAGGGCCAUUGAGGACACACUUGUGGCUUCCAGGCGAGCAGGGGUCCCCGACCAUGAGGAUGGGUGGGGUGGCAGAGCUGGGGUGUGCGAUUUGUGUUCCGAACCAUGUUGCCCUUCACGGGCCUGGGGUGCUGUGCAUGCAUCGCUUCUUCUCUGCGUGGCAGGUUGGCGCGUCAGGGUCCCCGCGUGGCGCGCAUUACCCAUUCGUGGAUCCUGUGGCUUGGCGUCCUCUGGUCACAGCCUUUGCAGCAAGCUGGGGACCUGCAGGCUUGGGGCGCGUGGGCUCCCGCAGGCUGGCCACUUUGAGUGACAAACACAAAGCUCCCCCAGACCUCUCAGGUGUGGCCGCGGCCCGUGCAGGUGCAAGAGCCCGGGCCAAAGGGACGCGGGGACUGGAAAGGAAAAGUUUCUGACCUGGAGCUGGAAGCAAUGUUUCGGCGACGCCAAAGCCAGGCCAACACUGCCCCCUCGUGGGAGAAACGCGGUGCUGCAGCUGGUGGGCACGCGAGCGGGGGAAACUGAGGCACGAGGAGGGUGAAGGUCCCAGGAGUUGGGGUGGAAAGAUCGGCCUCCUUGGGGAUCCCCUCCCAGGCGAUCCAAGAAAUAGCCUGAGCUCGGGGGAGCGGGGUGUGAAAGUUCGGAGAUGGGGGUGAUGUCAGGGGUGGGAUGGGAGUGGGGACCGAUUCCUGCUCCUGCCCCGGUGCGCGCCCGCGGGGGCGGCUGCGGCACUGUUCCCAAACCUCCCCGAGCCGGCUUUGUCCAAAUCGUUUUUCAGUCUACCCACUGCCUUUCUUCUGGAGCCAAGGCGCCUCUCCAAAAAAAGCCUUGGUCAGCCGCAGCCCAAGGUCACCACCAACCCCUGGCUGUCCAGUGCCAGCCACUAGGAGCGACCCAGGCUUCCAAGGAGCCAGGUGCCUGCUGUGAUUUUGAAUUCCCUCCCUGGCUGUGUCCUCGCUGGUCAGGAGGUGGUGACAAAGAGCUGGAUCAGGGCCCAGGGAUGGGCGCCAAGGACAGGGAGAAGGGGGCCCAAAAUCUGUCCAGGGGUGGCAGAGUGGGGGCGUAGUUCACUGUUCCUGGACUCCCCAUGUGGCAGGCGCCUCCUUCAGGUAUGGGCAGAUCUGGGUGCACAGAUGCUGGGAGGUCCAGGCACAGACCCUGGCAAACCCAGCUGUAAUUCUACCUUGUUCCUCCUCCAGCCCAAGAACCCCCAGAGACCCCCAAAACAGGCACCAGACAGGCUUGUACUGUAUGUGAGAACUAGUGGCAGAUCCCAGCCACCUGGGAUGUACUUUUAUUUGUAGGCUGAGGCAGGACGCUCCUUACUGCCCUGCUGGCACGCAGCCUCAGCUGGGGUGCCCGUGGGCACUCAGAGUUGCAGGAGGCAGGAAGAGCUAGUAGCCCCUAGGGUAGCCGCGCUUCAGGAUGGACUGCAGCACGAGGUUGGGCAGAAAGGGUUCCUAUGGAGAAGAGGAGGGUGGCUGGUCACCACCAGGGACCUCGGGAGACUCAGGGGCCUGCCAGGGCCUAUGGCUUCUGCAUUAAAGUCAAGUGGGUGGGUGGGUGCUGCUGCAGGCCUAUUUUGUGGGAGUUUUGGCCCUGUUUUGUUUUGUUUUGGUUUUGUCUUUUGAGAUAGGUGGGGCCUCCCUAUGCAGCCAAGGUUGGCCUCAAACUCACUGUUAUCCUCCUGUCUCAGCCUCUCAAGUGCUGGGAUUAUAAGUAUGUACUACCACCUCUGGCUUGUGGGCCCAUUUUACAGAUGAGGAACAAAACAGCCAGGUCCCUGGCCUUAAGAAGGAAGCAGGCUUAGAGGGAGCCUACCCUCUAAGCUGUGGUGUCCCUAACUUUGAGGGACUGUGGCCUCCACAAGCCCCCAUAGCUGCGCCCCUGCCAGGCCUCUGGGCAGGAAUGCACGGGACCAGCUGGAGUCGGUGCUCACUGGCUUAUGGCUCCAGGAGUAGGGUGACCUGUCCAUUUGUUCCAGGAAGCUUCGGGUGUCCAAGAGGCCCUGAAGGUUCCUCCAUGGCCUCGUCGUGGUGGCCCUGGGGGUGAAGGGCAGACUGCUGUUGAGGGAUGAGCUCUUAAAGAGGUGGCCCUGCAGCUCCUGGGCAGCCCUGGGGGAGACCGGAAUCUGUGAGCUUUGAGCACCCCAGAGUGCUAGGCCUGUGGAUGGGGGUGGGGGAUGCAAGGCAGGGGGCCUCACAGGCCUGGUUGGGCCCAGCAGGGAGAGCUGGCCGUGGUGUCCUCUCUGGCCCAGGAAUACUCAGCUUUGGGCAAACCAUCCUGCCACCUCCCGAAGCUCUGGAACCCUGGCCUGGACACCGACUCCGCUGGUGGGGUGGCAGGCCUGUUCUGGGCUGCAGGGGACAGAGCACCAGUAAGUUCUCUACUCCAGGGGAGCUGCUGGCACCCCCGCCCUCCUCUCCUCCUUCUCUCUCCAGCUGACACAGAACCCCGUCUCCAUGGCAACCCCAGGCUUCCCCAGGCCUCUGCCUGCCUCCAGAGAAGCUUUGGGUAUUCAAACUCUCCUGUGACUAUUUCUGCCGUUGCUCCCCAAGCUCUUCCUCCAGCACCCCCAUUCCUGCUUCAGCCCCAAACAGACCCCUGUCUGGCAGCAGAAGCCCAGUCACCCCCAUAGAAAUCCUGGAGAGGAGGCCAAGUCCUGAGGGAAUGGCAUCUCGGGGCUGGGAGGCCUUCUUGCCCCAAAGCUGCCACUCGGGCUGGUCAGGGACCCAAAGUGCCCCAGCAGGUGACUGGAGAGGGGAAGGCCGGGCCCCAGAGCCCUGGGUGGGGUCACAGCUGCUGGUGGCGUGAUGCAGUGGAAGCAUCACCCCUCUGCCACGGCGUGAAACUGUCUGUCUCAGCCUUGCUCUGUCCUUGUAUUGGGGCAGGGGUCACGCCGGCUCCUCCCUGUUCCUGGCUUCUAUGGCAGCUCCACAAGACCCUUGUGCCUCGGUUUCCCCAUAAACAAACAGGGGUGGAGCAAAAAGCACAGUUUGAUAUCUAGUUCCUGAGAGUCUGGGGGCUGGGGGAGGUUCCCUUCCUGAAUCAGCAGGCAUCCUGGAUCUAUGUGGGGCUGCACGGAAGGGAUUCCUGGAAUUGUACCCAGGAGCUACUCAGUGAAUCGCUGCUGGGAGCCAACUCGGGAGGCCUGGGGGCCCCUGGCCCAGGGAAGAGAUGGGGGCUCAGCAGUGAUUAUUCCUGGCCAGGGUCUCUGCUUCUUUUUGCAACCCAGUUGGGGCAGCUUUUUCAAAACAGACACCCUCGAACCUAUCCCCAGAGGGCUGAGCUCGGGACACCUGCCUGGGGGCCUAGGCCCGGGCUGUGUCCCUGCAGGACACCAGUGCCCACAUCCCCUUCUCCACCUUUCUGGGCACAUCCUCUGCUAGCCCCUGAGGUCAGCCUUCAAGGACAGAAGACAGUCAGCAGAAGGUGGACCGUGGCCAGGCCUGGCAGCCACUUCUGCUGGCUCUCAGAGUCCCCGCUUGGUCCUUGAAGCUCACCCUGACACCUUCCAGAAGGGCCAGGGCAGCUGCCUUCUCUGAGGGCCAGUGGGAAGCCCUCCACUCGGGGGGGCUGCAGCCAUGGCUUCUGCCCUCUGCAUCCCAGGCCACGACUCUCCAGAGUCCCGGGGCACCGUACCAGGUGCCUGUCCCCAGUGUCUACCUGUGCAGUGGCGCUCCAAGUAGCGGAGUGCGCUGUCCGUGAAGCUCUCAUCUGCAAAUCUCACCCGGUAAGGGCAGCUGCGCCUUCGGGGCCCCAGGCCUUCCCCGGAGGGGUUGGGGUUGGACCUGGCCUCGGGGCCCGGGGCUCCACAGAACCUGCAGAGAGGCCAGGCCAGGGGGUGUGAGCCGGAAAGCCCUACCCAACUCCAACUGGUGUAACCUGCACACCUGCGGGCAGAGGGCUAAGUAUGUACUAUGCUUCCUGCCACCAAACCCACACGGCUUCCACUUUACUGUGCCCUUUGUUUGUUUGGUUUGGUUUUUUGAGACAAGGAUGAUGUUAUGCACCCCAGGAAGACCCAGAAUUCAUGGCAACCUUCCUGGCUUAGCCUCAUUUCCUGAGUGCUGAGAUUACAGCCACCACACUCAGCUAUUCCCAUUCUACAGACAAGGAAACUGAGGCAGAGAGACUGUGGCAACAAGACCAAAGUCUUGGUAAGGCUGGUAAGGGAUGCAGCCAAUCUGCAGGUGGUUCUCCAACGAGGGCGCAGAGAUGGUAAAAAUUCAAACCCAAGAUUCAGGCAGCCCUAGGUUUUGAUCUUAACUCUUGAGCCUCAGUUUCCUUAUCUGUAACAUGGAGAGAAUCAUGGUCCACCCCCACCCCCACCCCCGAGACAGGGUUACAAAGAGACGAAAUGCAAAGGCAAAUAUCGCAAAGUGAGGCCUUCCAAAGACUGCCAGAGGGCCAGGUUCUGCCUGCCCAGGUGUGAGAGUGCAAGUGGCCGGCCCUGCUCUUCUGAGGCCCUGCCCUUCUGAGGCCCUGCCUUUCCAGUGAUUGUAGCUUGCAAAAAGGAGGUGCUGCCUUGGCCUGGCUGGCUGGGAGCCUGUGGGUUGGGAAUGUGUUUCAUCUGUGUUAUGGUUUCUGCCUAGAUGUCCCCCAAGGCUCCACAUGGUCAUAGGUGGGGCUUCACAGAGGUGGCUGGAUCCGGAGUGUGAAGCUGGAAUUGAUUCAUAGUGUGAUGCUGGGUCCACUGGGAUCACGGGUGUGAUUCCUACCUGCCCUAAAUAGUCUGGGAGGAUAAAAGGUGCGGAAAGACACUGUUAAGGCCCCUCACUGCCUCUGCCAUUUUGCCAGCAAUGAACUGUUUCUCUCUGCAAUGCCCCUCUGCCAUGUGCCACUCUGCCUUGCAGCCUGCCGACUGUGGACUGAAGCCUCUAUGAACUGUGAGCCAAAUAAACCUUUCCUCCCUUAA